rnacentral:rRNA from 1 species
UACGUAGGGGGCAAGCGUUGUCCGGAAUUACUGGGCGUAAAGGGUGCGUAGGCGGGUCUUUAAGUCAGGGGUGAAAUCCUGGAGCUCAACUCCAGAACUGCCUUUGAUACUGAAGAUCUUGAGUUCGGGAGAGGUGAGUGGAACUGCGAGUGUAGAGGUGAAAUUCGUAGAUAUUCGCAAGAACACCAGUGGCGAAGGCGGCUCACUGGCCCGAUACUGACGCUGAGGCACGAAAGCGUGGGGAGCAAACAGG